GACAGAGGGGGCAAGCGUUGCUCGGAAUCACUGGGCGUAAAGGGCGCGUAGGCGGGAAGCCAAGUCGGUCGUGAAAUCUCCGGGCUCAACCCGGAGGAGUCGGCCGAAACUGGUUUUCUUGAGGGAGGCAGAGGAGUCUGGAAUUCCCGGUGUAGCGGUGAAAUGUGUAGAGAUCGGGAGGAACACCGGUGGCGAAGGCGGGACUCUGGGCCUACCCUGACGCUGAGGCGCGAAGGCGUGGGGAGCAAACGGG
rnacentral:rRNA from 2 species